rfam:Gonium pectorale scaffold00010, whole genome shotgun sequence.
ACCACGGUGUUUUUCAACACCACCUUACAUAUCAUACCUACUGCCG